GAGUUUUUCGGCUAUGCGAGUACACUAACGGGUACCCCGACUGGUGCAUUCGAAGGCUUACCGCUUUAAGUUGAAAAUUGUGUCGGGGAAACAUCUCUGACAGGCUACUUGGUUGUUUUCAAAUCACCCCCCUUCCGGAAAGUUUCCCCACAUUUACUUGGGCCACCCCCCCCGAAGGCCGCGGGAAGUCAAUUUUUCGCCCCCCACCCCAAAAGAAUUUUUUGUUUUUUUCAGGGGGGGGGAAGAAAUUUGACCCCCCCCCCCGUGUUUUCCGUCCUUAAAAGGGUUUGGGGGCAAAAUUUGUUUAAAAAAUCGAUGGUUCACGGGAGUUUUCAAAUUCCACCCCCGGGUUUUAAUUCUGUUAAGUAAAAAAAGUGUACAAGGUUUCCGUAGGUGAACCUGCGGAAGGAUCAUUG
rnacentral:rRNA from 1 species